rnacentral:tRNA from 1 species
GCCCUGAUGGAGGAAUGGUAGACUCAGGGGACUUAAAAUCCCCGGGCUUCGCGGCCGUGCCGGUUCAAAUCCGGCUCAGGGCA